rnacentral:rRNA from 1 species
UACGUAGGGGGCAAGCGUUGUCCGGAUUUAUUGGGCGUAAAGAGCGUGUAGGCGGCUUGACAGGUCUGCUGUGAAAACUCGAGGCUCAACCUCGAGAUGUCGGCGGAAACCGUCUGGCUAGAGUCCGGAAGAGGAGAGUGGAAUUCCUGGUGUAGCGGUGAAAUGCGCAGAUAUCAGGAAGAACACCGGUGGCGAAGGCGGGUCUCUGGGCCGAUACUGACGCUGAGGAGCGAAAGCGUGGGGAGCGAACAGG